rnacentral:rRNA from 1 species
AUGAAAAUAAGUCUUAGGAAUGGAUUUUAUCAACUUUACGAAUUUGAGGAGACACAUAACCACAUUCUUGCUACUGGAACCAUGGCCCAAUACUUGAGAUCUCACAGAAAAGUGAUAGAUGCACAAAUAGCAGCUGCAGAGGUUGCAAAGUCUGUAGGCAUUUCAAAUAAAGCAACUAUUGAUCUUAUGGCCAAAGAAGCAUGUGGACAAGAAAACCUUGGUUUUAUCCCUCGAGACAUGAAAAAUUGUUUGUACUCAAAAAGAACAUUGCAAGCAGCGAAAGGUGAUACAGGGGGAGUGUUAGAAUACAUGGAGAAGAAGGUAGUAGAAGAUGUCAAGUUUUUUUAUUCAAUUCAAGUAGAUGAGGACGAUUUGAUAACUAAUAUAUUUUGGGCUGACUCCAAAAUGGUCUCAGACUAUGCAACUUUCGGUGAUGUUAUAAGU